AAGAAGGGAUAAGAAUCAAUAAGUACUGCUAAUCCUUACAAACCAUGGUUAAAAUCCACGGCCUUCUUA
rnacentral:tRNA from 1 species